CUCUCCUUACCUGCGUCCUCGGGGGCGUGCGCACCACCCCCCCUCCCGCCUAGGAGGGGGGAGGGCCCCCUCUUGGCCACCGCCUUCGCGGCCUUUAAACUCCCCUGGAGACUGCGGCUACUGCCACCGCCUUGCCUCCACUGCCUCUUCGCGCAGCACACAGAUGCGGACGAUCACCCAGUAAGCUGCAGCAAGUUAGCAGUGGAACCUGGGCCUCCCGAUUCCCAUGGCAGCCCACUUCUGUAGCGCUGCUUCGUUUUACGCGAGGAUGGUUUCCUGAUAGCUUUCAAACACCUUUGCCAUCUCUUCGCAAACUUUCUAGAUUAAGAAUCCCUUUGAGAAUCUGAUACCUUUACCCCAGAAUAGAACAAUAAAUAACAGCUACCUUCUACUGACACUACUUGGUGCCUUGAUUAUUUCUUUUAAUCCUAACUGCUCCAUUUUACAAACGAAUUGAGGCUCAGGCGUUAAAACACAGUGACAGAUCCUGAAGUCAAGAUUCCUAGCCAAGCAGUCUAAGCCACAAGAAUGCACUCGCUGUCAUAAAAUUUUACCACCUAAAGCCCCCGCUAAGAGGCCAGGUUAGGAAGCCCUGAUGAAGCUCCCCUUCCUCCAUUCAGUUUAGCUCUUCCCUGCGAAGAGGAUUGUUGGUCCCAUUUUACAGAUGAAGUUUGGGUUGAAAGAAAAGUGGAUGAUGCCCAUCUUUUCUAGACCCUCCUCCCAUCACCCCCAGAAGAGGGGAUCCCAGGCCAGAGCCUGAAUUGGACCUAGCCUUGUGCCAUUAACUCCUUGCUAUGUGACCUUGAGCAAUUAACUUCACCUUUCUGAGCUUCAGUUUCCUCUGUAAAGUGAGGAUAGAAUUGCUGAUGUAAAAUUGCUUUGAAAGAUCUAAAGGGCCAGGUGCGGUGGCUCACACCUGUAACCCCAGCACUUUGGGAGGCCAAGGCAGGAGGAUCACUUGAGGCCAGGAGCUCAAGACCAGCCUGGGUAACAUAGUGAGACGUCGUCUCUACAGUAAAUUAAAAAUUUUAAAAUUAUGAAAAAAUAAAAAAGCUCUAAAGGACUACCUAAAUGUGGAGUAUAUUUCACUAUAGUUCAGUGUUUCACACCCAUGAUCUUAAGGUCAAGGUUAGCUUUCUGAUGUGCUUUACAUAGUAUUUAUUUAUGUAUUCAUUUGUUGAGAUAGUCUUGCUCUGUCACCCAGGCCGGAGUGCAAUGGCACAAUCUUGGCUCCCUGCAGCCUCUGUCUCCCGGGCUCAAGCAAUUCUCAUGGCUCACCCUCCCAAGUAGCUGGGAUUACAGGUGUGCACCACCACACUCAGCUAAUUUUUGUAUUUUUGGUAGAGACAGGGUUUCACCAUGUUGCCCAGGCUGCUCUCAAACUCCUGACCUCAGGUGAUCCACCUACCUUAGCCUCCCAAAGUGCUGUGACUACAGGUGUGAGCCACCGCCCCCAGCUGCUUUAUAUAGUUUGUUUUUUGUUUUUCGUUUUUUGUUUUUAGAGACAGAGUCUCGCUCUUUACCCCAAGCUGGAGUGCAGUGUCACGAUCUCUGCUCACUGCAACCUCUGCCUCCCGGGUUCAAGCAAUUCUUAUGCCUCAGCCUCCCAAGUAGCUGGGAUUACAGGCACUGGCCACCAUGCCCAACUAAUUUUUGUAUUUUUAAUAGAGCCGGGGUUUCUUUUUUUUUUUUUUUUUUUUUUUUGAGACGGAGUCUUGCUCUGUCCCCCAGGCUGGAGUUCAGUGGCUCAAUCUCGGCUCACUGCAAG
rnacentral:lncRNA from 10 species